UCAGGCUGCAAUUGUCUCCUAGUCCAUUAUGUUGCUGAGUGUGGCAGCACCUUAAGGACCACAUAAAUGUUUCUCAAUUGCAAGUACUUCAUGAACCCACAUCUUGA